rnacentral:sRNA from 1 species
GCCGGGCGUUGUGGCGGGCACCUGUGGUCCCAGCUACUUGGGAGGCGGAGGCAGGAGACUCGCUUGAGCCCAGGAGUUGGAGGUUGCUGUGAGCUGUAAUGCCACUGCACUCUACCCAGGGGGACAGCUUGAGGCUCUGUCUCAAAAAAAAAAAAAAAGAAAUUAAACCAGGACUUUUUUUUAAGAGAGAGAAAGUCUCAAGCUGUCAUCCUGGGUGGAGUGCCGUGGUGUCACAGCUCAUAGCACCCUCAAACUCUUGGGCUUAAGCGAUUCUCUUGC